rnacentral:lncRNA from 1 species
AAACAGCUGUGUUUUUGCUCAGGGCUGUAGCAGCACCAGUGAAUCCAGAACCUCUUGAGAGGUCUGUGUUGGGGUCAGGCUCCAUGCAGAGGCCAGGGGCAGACUGGGAUGUUUUCGGAUGCGCGGCUGGAGAUAGCGCACCAGGAGGGAUGGUGAGGGCCACACUUAGAGAGCACUCGGUUUCUCCAAGCCCUUCAAUACUGCUCCUCUAGAAUAGGUGGCUAAAUUAGAAAAUACAUCAGAAUGUUAGUGGUGAAAGGAACCAGAGAUAAGCGCUCUUCACAGCAAAGAAACUGAAACCCUUCAAGGGGAUGGGACUUAACCACAGUGACCCCAAUCUCAUACCCAGGAAUCUCAACUCCCAGCGUGAGUUUUUCCCACCACAGCGUGAAUCCAGGUUGUUCCUGCAAUGUUAUGCAAUGUGAGUGGAGCUUUCUAACAAUAAGAGCACCAUCUAUGGUCUGGCUGUCUGCUGAGCAGCCUCAUCUGUCAAAGAAGCAGAAAAUUCCAAAGCAUGAUGCUAUGAAUCAAACCUGACACCCACAGACACAGGAGCUACCUCCUCCCCCACCGCCAACCCCCGAGCUUCCGCAGAUAUCUGAGCCUCUCUGGGUUGAGGAAGAGAGGGGGUGUUCUCCCGUAUUAAUCAGAUCCCAUUAAUUUUUCAAAGUAGACAACAGCCCACUUACUCAUCUGCUGUGGAGCCUCAUCCAUAAUUGAUCCUGAACUGCACUUACCCUAACAGACCGCGCAGAUGCCGGCUGCACGUAGAGCUCUGGGAGGGUUGUCUGCUGAUGAGCCUACUCCAAGUAGCAAAGGCACUCACAGCCAUGACACGUGGUAACUUCAGUGGGCCUGACACUUUUCCUUCCAUCAAAAACAACAAGGAAGAGGAAAGGAAUGACUCCCCAGAUGCUCUGAGUGGUUGUUCUGAGGUCAUUUCUAUGUACAAGUCAGCUUGAGGGGAAUUAAAAACAAUUGGCAUAAGCCAAACUCAUACCUGUGUCUUGAUCCUUUUGGGCUCCUAGAGCAAAAUAGCAUAAAUUGGG